rnacentral:rRNA from 1 species
CCUACGGGAGGCAGCAGUGGGGAAUAUUGGACAAUGGACCGAGAGUCUGAUCCAGCAAUUCUGUGUGCACGAUGAAGUUUUUCGGAAUGUAAAGUGCUUUCAGUUGGGAAGAAAGAAAUGACGGUACCAACAGAAGAAGUGACGGCUAAAUACGUGCCAGCAGCCGCGGUAAUACGUAUGUCACGAGCGUUAUCCGGAUUUAUUGGGCGUAAAGCGCGUCUAGGUGGUUAUAUAAGUCUGAUGUGAAAAUGCAGGGCUCAACUCUGUAUUGCGUUGGAAACUGUAUAACUAGAGUACUGGAGAGGUAAGCGGAACUACAAGUGUAGAGGUGAAAUUCGUAGAUAUUUGUAGGAAUGCCGAUGGGGAAGCCAGCUUACUGGACAGAUACUGACGCUGAAGCGCGAAAGCGUGGGUAGCAAACAGGAUUAGAUACCCUGGUAGUC